GGGGGGAGGUCGGAUCCUGGGCUGUGUCCCUGGCACCCUGUUCUCCCAGGCCUGUGCUUUUGGAUUCGUGCUCCCGGGGCCGCGCAGCCCCCU
rnacentral:pre_miRNA from 1 species